CACACUUUAUUCACUCAAUAGAAUGUAUAAAGUUAAAACUGAUAAAAGAGGGGAAAUUGUCAAAUCUACCAUUACAGUAGGAGAAUUCAAAAUACCUUUAUCAAUUAUUAAUAGGUCAGACAAAAGUUAGUAAAGAUAUGAAAGAUUUGAACAACACAAUUAACAAGCAGUGCCACAUAUGUAGAAAACAAUCAGAGGCCAGGUGCCUUGGCUUACGCCUGUAAUCCCAACACUUCGGGAGGCCAAGGCCGGAGGAUCAUUUAAGCCCAGGAGUUCCAGACCAGCUUGGGCAACAUACCCAGCUACUCAGGAGGCUGAGGUGGGAGGACUGCUUAAGCCCAGGAUGUUGAGGCUGCAGUGAGCCAAGAUCAUGCCAUCGUACAUGCCUAGGGGACACAGUGAGACCAGUUUCCAAAAAAAAAAAGGAAACAUAAUUAGGAAGCACAUGUGAAACACUUAAAAAACUGGCCAUACUGUGGCUGGGUGCGGUGGUUCACGCCUGUACUCCCAGCACUUUGGGAGGCCGAGGCGGGCGAAUCACGAGGUCAGGACCGGCCUCAGCCUCCCCAAAGUGCUGGGAUUACAGGCAUGAGCCACUGCGCCUGGCCCGUCUGUGUUCAAAUCUUAUCUAGUAUGCAUUAGAACAUAAAAUCAAGUCAACAUAAAGUUAAGUCUGAAAUUUUUACUUGACUAUUUUGAAGGUUUGGAGUAUACUGUUUUCUCUUUUAACAUAAUUUUUCUUUUCAUGUGCCUAGAAAAAUACAUUUUUACGUCAUCACCUUCACCCUGGAGUGUCAAAUACAAGUGGGUGCUUGCCAAGUUGAAGCAAUCAAAGCCACAGCUCAGAAGUUUUGAAAUUCUUAAGGGAUUUUCUAGCCAGAAUUACAACUGCUUUCUUUUUUUGAGACAGGGUCUUACUAUGUCACUCAGACUGGAGUGCAGUAGUAGUUCAAUCAUAGCUCACGGUAGCUUCUAAUCCCUGGGCUCAGGCAAUCCUCCUGCCUCAGCCUUCCAAGUAGCUGGGACUACAGGUGCGUGCCACCACACCUGGCUAAUUUUUUAUUUUUUAAUUUUUUUGUAGAGACAAGAGCUUGCUACGUUGCCCGGGCUGGGCUUGAACUCCCGGGCUCAAGCAAUCCUCCUGUCUCAGCCUCCCAAAGCAUUGAGUUUACAGGUGUAAGCCACUGUGCUUAGCCUACAACUAUUUUCUAACUGGGAUAAAAGAAAAAGAGAGUAUUUUGUAUACUUGCAAGAGAAUCCCUCCUCUAUCUACCACCACUACACUAAAACCAACUCACCAACCAACCAACCAACCAACUAACCAACCAAUGUGUGAAAGCAGAUAAAAUACUGUCCAGGUCAUUGUGGUGUCACCAUUUCUACAAUGAAAUGAGAGGAAAAAA
rnacentral:lncRNA from 10 species